AAAGCCCCCUGAAGGAACCAUGUAGACUACGUGGUUGAUAGGUCAGGUGUGUAAGUACAGCAAUGUAUUGAGCUAACUGAUACUAAUGAUCCGUGCGGCUUGACCAUAUAACCUCA
rnacentral:rRNA from 1 species